AUUCUAAAAGUCCGCAAUUUUCUGAUGUAUAGCUUUAUUUCAACUCGAACGAAAGCACAAAAUAAUAAUGAAUAUCAUUUACUAGCACCCACUUCGCAUCCAAAGGCUCAUUUGUUUUUGGAGUAAUUAUUGAAUUCUUUCGUGUUCAGUGUCCGAAAGUUUCGUUUUCUGUUACAUAGAAGCCAAAAUUUUCAGACGGUCUUGUCAUCUACAACAACUGUUGUGUCAGUCUGACUACAUUGUCAUGAUUGGUUGUAUGAAUCAUUCCUUCACUGUAAAAAAAAAUACACAUAAAUAAUAGUUUGCGCGUCUUUGACGGAAUCACUGAACAGGUCUUUCUUUACUUCUCUGUUUCAACCUCUGGUGCAGAAUGUUGGAAAUGGCUAAUAAGGGAAAUACCUAAUUAAUAAUGAGCUCCACGAUUAACUCACUGAUUGACUUGAUUUCUCGGAGUGAUCUCUAAAACAGACUUCGUUUUGAUUGGAUAAAUGUUUUGUGACGGUUCCAGUCACAGACAAGAUCAGCUAUGGCCAGCCUCAGUGCUUGACAUUGAAUGCAGUUUAAGAGUUUUUUGAUUCUUUUUUGGCCACAAAUGUAGUAUAAUCGAGAAAAACAUUUACUGCGACAACGAAAAUGCUUUAUUGAAGAAAAACGAUCAAGGCGAAAACUAUAUUAUAGAGCUAUUAAUAUGCGUGUUUUUAUGAUUCCUUGUAUGGCCUCUAAUAUUUGUCCAGACGACCGUGUGUUGUACUUCUAUCUACAUAUUUGUGGAGCAUUCUAGCGACAAUAACAAGCGACUAUAAGAGCACAAAACUGCAAGAUUUGGAUAACGAUGAGUUUGUUCACCUGAUCAAUUCUUUCUUAAUAAUGGGCAAAACUCACGAACCAAAUAAAUAGAAGAGAAGCCUAAUGAUGGUGUAGAAGGAGAAUACCUCAACUGUAUACAUAAAACAAUUAUAGGUUAAUUGGCCAGAAUAUAACGAAAAGCAUGGCAAUGCGAGCAUUUGAGAUAUAUCAACUAUUGCUUGUUCUUACAGUCACCUCGGCAAAGAUGGACAUAAAGAUGUUUUUGUUGUCGAUCUUUCUCCAUCCAUAAAAUGCCGAUGCAAAUCUCAGGUUAUGUCAAAAUCCAAUCACAAUUAUUUGAAGAACGACUCACUACUCCCUCGUCUCCGAAAGCAGGAACUACAAUCAUUUAAAAUCACGUUUAUUCCUCGUUCAUGCAACCUUGAUCCUGAUGAAAGUUUCUUCUACUUGUGCGGAAAGGUCAAAGACAAACUAACCUGGCAAAUUCAACACUAUUCAAAUACGAUAUGCACCGUAACUCCCUCUCCUUGGUAUUCACUGAUGUAAGUCAGAAAUGCAACUUGAAUUAGGAAUAAAAACUGUACAUGAGUCGGAUCGUUAUAUUGUCUUCGACUCAGCGAAGAGAUCAAUAUGCGUACAUAAAAAAAAAAAAUAUUCUGAGAAAUCACUCACUGUGACUAUUUCCUAGAAAAGAAGACAAGAGCAGGGCAUUCCUUACAUUCUGGCAAAAUCCAACAAAUAUGAAUGCAAUGUAAACUAGAUAAUAGAUCAUGAUGCAUAUUUUCAUAACUGUCAUUGUCAGGUAAUUUUACAGAAGUGACAUCAUUUCAAAAGUGGGAGCCAGGCCAGCACUAGAAGUUUCGGAGGAUGAUAAAGAAUUUCAUAAACCUGCCGAAAUUAUUGCAUCAUAUCAAGAGACGUUUAUUAAAUAAAUUCUUAGUAGCUUUUGAAAGUGUUACAGUUAGGGAAAUAUCCCUUUGCUGAUCAAGCAAUCAGAUUUUGGAAUGUAAAGUGUUUUCUUAUUGGUCAGAAAGCCGGGAUAAACUGAAAUAGACAUAACAUCAUGGAGUCUAUUUUAACUCACGAGCAGAGGCGCUAAAUUCAAAUCCAAGAAAACGUUCUGUUGACGAGUUCGCUGGAGCUGCGCUUAUUAAGAGAGAAAUCGAAACAGCCUUUCCUUGCUUGUCAAGUGACGCCAGAAAUUUUACCGAAGAUGCAGACUUCCGAUAUUUGUCAACUUCUAAUCAAUGAAGAUUGGAAUUCCUAUGCCACUGACCUUGCUGAAGCACCACAAACUGAAGGAAUUUAUGCAAUAGGCUGCUUGGAAGUUGCACUAGGUGUUGAUGUCAUAUACGUGGGACAAUCCAUCCACAUUCGUAAGCGGCUCCAGCAGCACAAAUACCAAAACCAGGCAAUUGACGAGUUUGUGAAAGACCAAUUCACUCGAAAUGGCGGGAUAAACUUGUUCAUAAAAUGGGUAGAGGUAGAAAAUAGCAAAUGUCUGGAGGGACACUACCUUGACUGUAUGUAUAAAAAACUCGGUUAUUGGCCACGUUUUAACCUAAAACAUGGAAACACAUGUAACUAAGUCCUUCUGGGCAUUAACUGUAACGCAAAGGAUUAAUUGGUCGUAGAAUAACUUGCUAUAAUAACAUGUCUGAUUUGAGGCCUGCGUAUAAGGUAUAUAAUGGAUUAACAGGAAAAUGUGUGACGCGUUGAUAAUCAUAAACGUUUCUAGAAGUUAUGGCCUUAAGCACCGUCUUUAAGAUAUCAUAUUUCACAUUUUCGUACAUUUUGCAAAUAAUUAACUGUAUUAAUAUUGUAACAGUGUAAUCGCGAAAACGACUAGAUUAAAUCAAUAGCUAUAUGCUGUAACGACUCGACUGAGGCAUAGGCAGCGCCCAUUUACUAAUUGUUUCUAUUUACUUCGGACAAUUUUGGGAUUUCAGUUUUUAACGUGGUCUUUAGUUACUAAAAUGUUCGGCUAAAGCUGUCUUGACAGUUUAUAUCUAUGAAUGUGGUUUUACUUGAUCAAUUCAUUACUUUCGAAACUCAAGGAAUCAAGCUCUAAUGUAUCCUGCAGAUAUAUCAAUCCUUUUUUGAUUCAGGAUUAUUAUGUCAAACUAGGCGCUGUCUUUUGUUUACAGUUUCGUAAAAAAGUUAACACCCAAGUCGUGAUUUUCCCGUGUUAUUUCAUUUUACCAUAAUCUUUACCGGUAAAUGGUUUCUUAGUUGUAUUAUGCUUGACAUAAGUGACCGUCAGCAGAUGAAGUAUUGAAUAGGGUUAGGUUAAGUCAUAGUGAAAAAGCUUGGAAAUAUGAUAUAUUUGUAAGAUGAAAUUUUAGAAGAAGGCUUAUUAAUAACAGGCUAGUGAACGUUAACCUAGAAGAAAGUGUAACCGAAUGUGAUUAUCGGAAGAUAUUCCAGAAGAGAUAGAAGGUCAGAGAAAAGAGCAGAGAUCUGUAAAGCAAGCUGGAUUAAAGUGACUUUUUUAGUUGAA